UAUACAUCAGAAGCCGUUGGCCGGUGUUCCAGUAACGAUAGCGUACGUUAAAUCCCUUCCAAACAGAUCAGUUUGUUGAUUGGCCGGUAAACAGAUAUCAAAAACUCUCGGAAGUCAUCGAGAGCAACCAAGACGCGACGAUUAGCGAGAAUGACUACAUCACUUAUCGAUUACAUAACAAGACAAAGAUACUAUCACGUUAUUAAUUAAAUUAAUUUAUAAAAUAUAUUUUCUAUUUUA